UGUGUCAGCCGCCGCGGUAAUACGUAGGGAGCGAGCGUUAUCCGGAUUUAUUGGGCGUAAAGCGUGUGUAGGCGGUUAAUUAAGUCUAAGAUCAAAGACUAGGGCUCAACCCUAGUUCGUUUUAGAAACUGGUUAGCUUGAGUAUAGUAGAGGCAAGUGGAAUUUCUAGUGUAGCGGUAAAAUGUGUAGAUAUUAGAAGGAACACCAGUGGCGAAGGCGACUUGCUGGGCUAUCACUGACGCUGAGGCACGAAAGCGUGGGGAGCAAAUAGGAUUAGAUACCCUAGUAGUCCACGCCGUAAACGAUGAGUACUAAGUGUUGGAAUUAUCCAGUGCUGAAGUUAACGCAUUAAGUACUCCGCCUGAGUAGUACGGUCGCAAGGCUGAAACUUAAAGGAAUUGACGGGCACCCGCACAAGCGGUGGAGCAUGCUGUUUAAUUCGAAGGUACGCGAAGAACCUUACCAGGGCUUGACAUCCCUCUGACCGAUCUGGAAACAGAUUUUUCUCCCUCGGGAGACAGAGGUGACAGGUGGUGCAUGGUUGUCGUCAGCUCGUGUCGUGAGAUGUUUGGUUAAGUCCAAUAACGAGCGCAACCCUUCUCCUUAGUUGCUAACAUUCAGUUGAGAACUCUAAGGAUACUGCCGGUGACAAACCGGAGGAAGGUGGGGAUGAGGUCAAAUCAUCAUGCCCCUUACGUCCUGGGCUACAGGCGUGCUACAAUGGCCGGUAUAGAAAGAAGCAAUAUCGUAAGAUGGAGCAAAUCUCCAAAGCCGGUCCCAGUUCGGAUUGAGGUCUGCAACUCGACCUCAUGAAGUUGGAAUCGCUAGUAAUGGCAAAUCAGAAUGUUGCCGUGAAUACGUUCCCGGGUGUUGUACACACCGCCCGUCACGCUAUGAGAGUUUGUAAUACCUGAAGCUGGUAGCCUAACCCGAAAGGGAGGGGGCCAUCUAGGGUAGGACAGAUGAUUGGAGUGAAGUCGUAACAAGGUAACCA
rnacentral:rRNA from 1 species